AGUGCACAAUGGCGGAAACCCUGAUGCAGCGACGCCGCGUGAGCGAAGAAGGCCUUGNNNUUGUANAACUCUAUCCCAAGGGANGAANAGGACGGUACCAUAGGAGGAAGCCCCGGCUAACUACGUGCCCGCAGCCGCGGUAAUACGCAGGCGGCGUGCGUUAUCCGGAAUUAUUGGGCGUAAAGGGUGCGUAGGCGGCCUUUUAAGGCAGAUGUGAAAGGCUAAGGCUUAACCGUAAUUGGCAUUUGAAACUAAAAGGCUUGAGUGCAGGAGAGGAGGGUGGAAUUCCUAGUGUAGCGGUGAAAUGCGUAGAUAUUAGGAGGAACACCAGUGGCGAAGGCGACUCUCUGGACUGCAACUGACGCUGAGGCACGAAAGCGUGGGGAGCGAACAG
rnacentral:rRNA from 1 species